GCCAAGAUGGCCGAAUAGGAACAGCUCCGGUCUACAGCUCCCAGCGCGAGCGUCGCACAAGACGGGUGAUUUCUGCAUUUCCAUCUGAGAUGGAGUCACGCUCUAUUGCCAGGCUGGAGUGCAGUGGCACAAUCUCGGCUCAGUGCAACCACCGCCUCCCAGCCUUCCUGGCCUCCAGUAACCACCAACCUACUGUCUGUCUUCAGGAGAUCUACUUUUAUUGCUCCAACAUAUGAGUGAACCCAUCCAUCACUGACCAAGGAGCAAAUCCAUUUGAGAAAGGCCGUUCUGCCAGUUCUUUAGCCCCUGCACUGGAGAGAGAUCUUGACUGGGAUCUAUUGAGCCCAGAGGACAUCACAGCUUUUCCUAGAUAUUGAUCCUUCCAUGGCACAACCAUUGUUCUCAUUGUUACCACUGACACCCAGGCAUGUCAACUAAGUGCCUCCACUGCAGAGGCUGGGAGCAUGUGGCCGCCUAUUAUCCCAAGAUUCCCAUCCUGAUUGCAUUUCAUCUCAUUGCAGGAGCUAGAACUCAA